AUUGAACGCUGGCGGCAGGCUUAACACAUGCAAGUCGAGCGGGGUGAUGGUGCUUGCACUAUCACUUAGCGGCGGACGGGUGAGUAAUGCUUAGGAAUCUGCCUAUUAGUGGGGGACAACAUCUCGAAAGGGAUGCUAAUACCGCAUACGUCCUACGGGAGAAAGCAGGGGAUCACUUGUGACCUUGUGCUAAUAGAUGAGCCUAAGUCGGAUUAGCUAGUUGGUGGGGUAAAGGCCUACCAAGGCGACGAUCUGUAGCGGGUCUGAGAGGAUGGACCGCCACACUGGGACUGGGACACGGCCCAGACUCCUACGGUAGGAAGCAGUGGGGAAUAUUGGACAAUGGGGGGAACCCUGAUCCAGCCAUGCCGCGUGUGUGAAGAAGGCCUUAUGGUUGUAAAGCACUUUAAGCGAGGAGGAGGCUUACCUAGUUAAUACCUGGGAUAAGUGGACGUUACUCGCAGAAUAAGCACCGGCUAACUCUGUGCCAGCCGCCGCGGUAA
rnacentral:rRNA from 1 species